AUUGAACGCUGGCGGCAUGCCUUACACAUGCAAGUCGAACGGCAGCACGGGAGCUUGCUCCUGGUGGCGAGUGGCGAACGGGUGAGUAAUACAUCGGAACGUACCCAGGAGUGGGGGAUAACGUAGCGAAAGUUACGCUAAUACCGCAUAUUCUGUGAGCAGGAAAGCGGGGGAUCGCAAGACCUCGCGCUCUUGGAGCGGCCGAUGUCGGAUUAGCUAGUUGGUGAGGUAAAGGCUCACCAAGGCGACGAUCCGUAGCAGGUCUGAGAGGAUGAUCUGCCACACUGGGACUGAGACACGGCCCAGACUUCUACGGGAGGCAGCAGUGGGGAAUUUUGGACAAUGGGGGCAACCCUGAUCCAGCCAUGCCGCGUGAGUGAAGAAGGCCUUCGGGUUGUAAAGCUCUUUCGGCGGGGAAGAAAUGGCAACGGCUAAUAUCCGUUGUUGAUGACGGUACCCGCAUAAGAAGCACCGGCUAACUACGUGCCAGCCGCCGCAGUAA
rnacentral:rRNA from 1 species